rnacentral:rRNA from 1 species
UAUUUUUCAAACCGGCUCGGCAUUGGGGGUGCUGACCAAUUGACUAAUUUCUAUUGAUCCGACUCUGGCGGAUCAAUAGAAAUUAUAGCGGUGGAGUAAAAUGGAAAAUGUCCUUGUCAUUUUAAUCGUUGGGCUUGCGGCCUUCUUUCUCGGUCGCAGUUAUUAUAAAAAAUACAAAAAAAAGGGUCAAUGCAGCUGUGGAUGCACUUCCUGUCCGACGGAUGCAUCGGU